UUUCAUGAAGGAAUUGCAGCCAGUAGGAACACCAAUUUCUGGCCCGAGGGGCUCAAUUGGAUCAAUGAGAGUUAAUCUUUCAGAGUCUCCUUUUCCUGUGAUGGAUGAUGAUCUCCUUGCUUCUACAGAUGAUACAACAUCUAGCAUAUCGACUCAUGGCACUGGCAUUCUAGCAUCAAAGCAGAGACAACAAAUUAAAUCAGAAAGUAAUGAAGAGAAAUUUUCAGGGUUUGAUUGUCAAAAGGAAGUGGA
rnacentral:misc_RNA from 1 species